CGGGACCUACUUUUUGCCUGUGUGUGCAGGAAGAUGUGCAGAUGUGAGUGACCUCACAUCUGCACACCUGCAGGGAAACCGAGGGCUGAAGGUGGUGGUGAUGAUGAUGAUGAUGGUGAUGAUGAAGUGUUUCUGGAGUGUGUGCAAAUGUGUGACGUCACACCUGCACAUACAGUAGACCCGUCUCUCGUUGGACCAGGGUUUGGAUGCAGCGUUGCCACGGUAACCAACGAGGUGAUGACACCUGCACAUACAGUAGACCCGUCUCUCGUUGGACCAGGGUUUGGAUGCAGCGUUGCCACGGUAACCAACGAGGUGAUGACACCUGCACAUACAGUAGACCCGUCUCUCGUUGGACCAGGGUUUGGAUGCAGCGUUGCCACGGUAACCAACGAGGUGAUGACACCUGCACAUACAGUAGACCCGUCUCUCGUUGGACCAGGGUUUGGAUGCAGCGUUGCCGCGCUCUAAAUUCUGCAGACGGAACUGAUCCAGGUGCUGAUUCAGGUGCCUCGUCUCCAGGUAAACCUCCAGCCGGAGACUCCACCAGACUUCCUCCUUCUGAUCAGACCCCCCCCCAGCUGUCAGAGAGAAGCGGUUCACACAUUUCAAAGCUAACCUCAGCGGAUGUCGUCCUUUCACUCAUCAUGUGAUCCUCCGUCGAUGGAAUCUCUGCUUGGAUAAAGCUUUGUUUCCUCUGCAGCCGGGAAUCCUCUUCAUCAGCAGCAGAUCACAUUGUUCCCUUCAUCACUUUCACCAGGCUUUGAUUUGGGCAUUUGCAGAAAGUCAGAAGAUGCAGAUGAGCCAAUGUGACGUCAUUGGCCGUCCUUGGGAGAGUUGCUGAAGUGUGUUUUCCUCUCCUGCUGCUGCUGGUCGGUUGUUCAUCGCUUGGUUGGUGUUAGUUAGU
ensembl:lncRNA